rnacentral:rRNA from 1 species
UACGGGGGGGGCAAGCGUUGUUCGGAAUUACUGGGCGUAAAGGGUUCGUAGGUGGCCGGCUAAGUCAGACGUGAAAUCCCUCAGCUCAACUGGGGAACUGCGUCUGAGACUGGUCGGCUCGAGUGCAGGGGAGGAACGCGGAAUUCCAGGUGUAGCGGUGAAAUGCGUAGAUAUCUGGAGGAACACCGGUGGCGAAGGCGGCGUUCUGGACUGUUACUGACACUGAGGAACGAAAGCCAGGGGAGCAAACGGG